CGCGGCGAGCACGUGGCGGCGACGACGGCGGCGGCUACGGGGUCUCCCGCGCGGCGCUUACGGGGCGGCGUGAGGCGGCACCGCCGCCAUCUUGGAGCUCGAGCGGCCGCGGGAGAAUGAUGGAAAUCCUUCCUGACUUAAAGCCUCCACAACUUUCUUUUGAAGAGGUAUUGAUAUUCUUAAAACCUGAGGAGUCCAGCUGCAAACAACAGUCAGGAAAAGGGCAUCAGUCCAUUAAAUGAUAAGGUCUAAGGGUAAACUUUCAAGGGAUGCCACUGGUAACUGCUGUCAGAUGGAGUGUGACUCUUUAACCCCUUGGGCCUGUCAAGGUAGAUUUUCACCCAUUCAGCAGUCUGCCCAUCCACACUAUAACAUUCCAAUUUGGAUACAAGUUUGCUGUGGGAGACCUGCUGAAAGCCGUCCUGAAGUCAAGGCAUGGCUCCUGCAGACUUGCUCUGUUAUUGUCCCAGAGGACAAGCAGUGGUUCCAUGGAUCAUCAUUCUUGCCUUUCUUUAGCAUUAUGGGCUUUUGGAGAGAUUGAAGUGUGAAAUCAGCCUUUCACUUCACAGCUAAGAGAUUUGACAUAGUCCAUAGUGAUACACUCCCUACAAACUGGGACUAAAAAGUCUGUAAACAGUUAUUGAUCUCCACAUGCUACUGGGGAAAUUUUCCAAGAUCAGUGACAGCUGGGAAAUCACUGGCAUUUUAAAAUUAUAGAUCACUGAUUCACUUUUUUGGCAUUUUCAGUAUUGCAUUAUGGCAAUAAACAUGCUAGAUGUGUAUAAAAAAACCAAAGUGCUUUUAGCAUUUUAGUAUUUUUUUGUUUGAGCAGUAUUACAGAUGAAAAUUUUUUGAUACAAUUCAAAAUAAUGGGUUUGUUUAUUAAAGAUAUAUACCCAUUAAGAUGAAGUUAGGAUGAGGAAAAUGCUUGUUUGCGUGAAAAUAAUAUCUGCUUUUUCAACAACAGCAUCUCCUGAGGUUUCUUUGAUUCAUAUCUGAUUACUUUAAUGACUAAACCAGGUUUUAACUCCUGUUAGCACUGCAGAAUACAGGGAAUUAUAGAAGAGAAGAAUGUAUUUUGCCCUCCCAAGUCAUUGUCAACACAACUCUCAGGUACAUUUCAUUCUGGAAUUAUUUGCAAGGGAGGGGAUUGGUUUCCAGUCAUUGUCCCAGGCAGAGGUUGCAGAAGCCUCUGGUCAGUCACUGAGCUUUCAUUACAAUUUGGGAGGAGUUGGGUGCUUGCCUACAGAAGGGCACAGGUGCGUGAAAGGAAGAGAUGUGUUGACAAAAUCACCUCUUUGCUGGACAAUUAAAAAUGUGAGAUAAACCCGAGCUUGUUCUGUGCUGCCUGGGGCAAGAAGGACUUCAUAUUGUUAACACAGUGAUUCCUCUGGCUGAUGAAGGAUCUGCUCUGACGCAUUCUGAAGGAUGUUGCAUAUGCCUUGGCUGGGAAAAUGAUGUUUUCUUUGUACUGGUCGAGGAUAGAAAAGAAGGGGAAAUGGUGGGAGUGGUGACUCGGGUGAUCUUUAGAGAAAAAAAAUAAUGCAAAUUCAAAUUGAAGAUGAGCUCUGUAUACUUCCAGGUUUGAAAGUAAUUAGCAGUCACAGAGUUCAUAAUCUAGCGUCUCAGAUUUUUGCACUGGAAAAAUACACAUUUUAAAAUAGAAUAAAAAAUUUACUAAUAAGAUUAGCUGGCUAAUAAUGUUUUAAUGCAAAAAAUAUGUAAUAGAAAAUAUUGUUCAGUCAGAAUCCGGAAAGAAAAACAGCAAAUAAUAAACUGAUUUGAGCUAAGAACUUUGAAUACAGACUUAAUUGUUCAAGACAUGACUGAUUUUAUUUUAUUCCCAUGACAGCAUCAUUUCAUCCACAGUCUGUCAUGCCACGAGGCCUGUAAGAGGCUGUCUUUGAAGGGAUUGUAAUGGCAGGUAUAGUUCUGCCAAGUAGAAAUGAUUCUGGAGACACUGCAGAAGGUGGAGGCUUUCCUGUGAUGAACCUGGAGGCAGUCCGGAGGAGUUAGGGCUUAUGGAAUAACUGGCAAGCCAGGAAUGUUUCUGCACAAGUGCAGUGCAAAACUGAAAGGGACUUCAAGGGCUGACAGUCCUAAGCCACCAAGUGCAGUGAACUCAACCAAGGCAAUCUACCUGCAGCCUCCGAGCUCAUUCCUUGGAUUCCUGAAAGGAAUAAACCCAUCAUUGUUCAUCCAUGUGGCUGACAUUGGCAUAGAUCUACUUCACUCCAAUCUGAGCACUCGUAGGACUUGUAUAUAAUAGGAGCAAAAGGGAGUUCCUUGCCACUUAGUGUGAGAAAAAAAUGCCAGGGAAGACAAGUGCAUAUUAGGUUGUGCUCGCUGGCAAGCAAACACUCCUCAGCUCUGCCUGGCUUAGAGGGGCAGUGGAAGAGCAAGGGGGGGGGGGUGUGAGAAAGCCCUGCACAUUGGCAAUCCCCUGCUUUUACAAGCUCAGAAGAGCUUGUGGAAGAGUGGAAAAGCCAAGUAGCAUUCCAAAUCCCAGAGUCACAGGUCACUGCUGUCAUUUACAGGCUGGGUUCCUUCGGGCCGACGGUUUCUCUGUGUAAUUACACAAUAUUGAUGCACAUCUGUGAGGACAAACCGUUAGGAACAAACAGUUCAAAAUAUCUAUAAAAUGUAAAAUUAAAAAAAAAAAAUAUUUUCAGGUGUGAAAUGAGAUGAUGCUUUGCCUGCAUGGGCAAAAAUUGAUCCAAGUUUUGUGAUGACGGUGUCUCUGGUUUCAUGUCAGUUAUCUCAGCAUAACUUUUAGAUUAUUUCUGAAAUCAUGCACAGAAUGAGGGGCGAUACAGUUUGACCUUUUCAGACUUGCUGCAUUUUAAUUUUUCCUAUGCUCAGAAAUAACACAGAAAAACCCCCAAGAGGUAAUAUUAUUUUUGUAUAAAUCUCUGUAGUUAUACUAGGCAUGUUCGGAAUACAUUAAAGAUACUGUCCUGACACAAAAAAAUUACAAUGUGCUUUUAGAUAUUACAUAACUAAUGAGAGCAAUAAAUGCUGGGGGAACGAGUGGAUCAAGGUUACAAUAAUAAGAUUAUAGCAUUCCUCCACUAUGUGUGCAUGGUUAAAAAUUCACCUCAAUUUUGCUGCCUCAGUCUGGGCUUUGGUUUUUCAUUUUGGCUUUUUCUUGCUUUAUCAGAUUUAAUUUUCUGUCUGAGUCCACCAGACCAUAACAUCCUGGCUAAAAACUCUGACCAGACUUUUGAUUUUCUCUUUCUCUUUUUUUCCUCUCUCUCUUUUUUUUUUUUUCCUUCUUUUUAGUUUUCUUAUUUUUAAUUUAGAAUGUACCUGCUCUGCUUGCACGGCCACCAUCAAUGGCCUGUCUGUAGCAGAACCAUUGUCAUGGUCUUUUCUCUGACAGGAGUCACAGUUGAAGCACCAAUAGAAUAUACACUUGAAUGCUUGCAUGACUUUUUUCUACACAGGGAAAGUGAUACCAAAAAAAAAGUAAUUAUGUGAUUUCUACACAAUUACACCUGGAUUUUUAAAUCCCCACUUCGAAGACCCACCCCAUACACUGUGUGUGUGGUGUGUGAAAGGCAUGGAAAACGUGUGCUAAUGCUCCAUCUUCUCAUUCACAUCCAGCCCUAACAGUCACUUAAAAACGAUUUGUGAAAAAAUCAAUAAUGUACCUUACUGUCUUUUUUUGUAAUGUAUAAAAAAGGGUGGAUUUUUGCCAAUUUUUUAAACACUCUGAAAAUAUCAAGAUUGUAAAAUUGGAUUUUUAUUGAUUUUCUUGGAAGAUCUUUGGGGUUUCGACAGACAGGUAUUGACAGCAGCCACCUCUAGCUGAAUCAGAAGUAUUGAAUGUGUAACAGGAAUCAUUCGAUCUUCAACAUAUUUGAAUUAUCCUCAUGUUAAAACAAAAGUGAUCAGAAAUCUUUUCUCCUUUCAAGUCUUUGCUCUUGCACUGUUAUUCUUCUUUAUGUUCUUUAAUCGCCGCAGUCUUCCAGGCUGCAAACGAAAGAUAAACAAACAAUGGAAUAUCUAAUGUUUCAAAUGCAAGCACAGAUCAAAAAAGUAAAACAUGCUCCUUAAGUCCAUAGAGAUUACAAAUAAAUAGAAAAAUGGGACAAAUCCGUAUUUAUAAAAAUAAUUUCUUUCUCAAUAUUUGUAAUGGAGUUGUCAGUCACAUUAAUUUUUAUGUAAAUUUACCUAAGCUGAUGAAUCAUAACUGAAAUACUGUCUAAUCUUCCUGGGUUUGACCGGCAUUUCCAUUUUUAUUUCCAUCGCCUCAGUUUAUUUUUGUUUGUUGAUACAAUGAGUUUUAAGGGUCCGUUCCAGGACCCAUAACACAGCAAAAGGAGCGGCCCUGCCUCGAGUGGCUGUCAGUCCCACACAGGCAGUGGAUCCCGACACAUGAGAGUAAGACAAGAACAGUCUCCAUGACAGACAGUCAUCUUGGCACACAGCUGACGAUUCAUUACCAUUCCUUCAGUAGACAGCACAGCACAGGAGAUUUUUAGGGAGGGAUUUGAAGGAGGAAAAUUAGGUGAGUGGGAGUGAGAAGCAGCAGCGAGGGAAAGCAUGAAGGUGCUGGUUUGAAAAUGUAACAAGUAGAGAGUUAUUACUGAAUGAAAUGUGUGGGGGGAAGCCGUUGGUUUUUCCAUAGGCUAUUAAAAGAUGAUGGGGUGGGAAUAAGCUGCAAAGAGCCACAGAAGUGGAGCAGUUUUUGCUUGCCAAGAUGUGGAAGGAGGCGGGGGGACCCGCUGGAACAAGGAAUGGGGCUGAAACAGCGAAUGUGAGGAUAACCGGGGCAGCGGUGGUUUGCAGCAGUGUUCUGUUGUUCUUUGUUGGUUUGUGAUGUCCAAAAUCAGAUUGUUUGCUUUGGAAGGGCAAGGGCCAAAGACGUCUUUGUACUAACAAACACCUCAACAUGUUCUCAGGUGCUCUAAAAAUGAGCAAAUAAAAAUAAGCAACUGCUUCUCCUAAAAACCAGUUCCCUCAUUCUUCAGCCCUGAUUCAAGUUACGCCAUUCGGUUAUCUUUCUAUUUCCAAAAGAACUUUCUAUAUGAACUUUCCAGUUCUCUCUUGUCAAAUUAUCUUACUGUUUUUGGAAA